rnacentral:tRNA from 1 species
UGGCUGAGUGGUAAAGCACUGGGCUUCUGAACUGGUGGUCCCGGGUUCGAAUCCUGG